rnacentral:rRNA from 1 species
GACGAGCGCUGGCGGCGUGCCUAAUACAUGCAAGUCGAGCGGACCGGAUUGGGGCUUGCCUUGAUUCGGUCAGCGGCGGACGGGUGAGUAACACGUGGGCAACCUGCCCGCAAGACCGGGAUAACUCCGGGAAACCGGAGCUAAUACCGGAUAACACCGAAGACCGCAUGGUCUUCGGUUGAAAGGCGGCCUUUGGGCUGUCACUUGCGGAUGGGCCCGCGGCGCAUUAGCUAGUUGGUGAGGUAACGGCUCACCAAGGCGACGAUGCGUAGCCGGCCUGAGAGGGUGACCGGCCACACUGGGACUGAGACACGGCCCAGACUCCUACGGGAGGCAGCAGUAGGGAAUCUUCCGCAAUGGGCGAAAGCCUGACGGAGCGACGCCGCGUGAGCGAAGAAGGCCUUCGGGUCGUAAAGCUCUGUUGUGAGGGACGAAGGAGCGUCGUUCGAAGAGGGCGGCGCGGUGACGGUACCUCACGAGAAAGCCCCGGCUAACUACGUG